rnacentral:rRNA from 1 species
UACGAAGGGGGCUAGCGUUGCUCGGAAUGACUGGGCGUAAAGGGCGCGUAGGCGGCUUGGUCCGUCAGAUGUGAAAUUCCUGGGCUUAACCUGGGGGCUGCAUUUGAUACGUGUGGGCUUGAGUGCGGAAGAGGGUCGUGGAAUUCCCAGUGUAGAGGUGAAAUUCGUAGAUAUUGGGAGGAACACCGGUGGCGAAGGCGGCGACCUGGGCCGUGACUGACGCUGAGGCGCGAAAGCGUGGGGAGCAAACAGG